rnacentral:sRNA from 1 species
ACUAACUGAGACGAAGGAUACGACUCAGGGUCAGGGACGACCGGCCAUUGCAAGGAAGCUGCUGACAGGAUGUUGGAAUGGCUAGACAAAAAACCCGCUUCGGCGGGUUUUUU